rnacentral:rRNA from 1 species
UGGGGAAUUUUGGACAAUGGGCGAAAGCCUGAUCCAGCAAUGCCGCGUGUGUGAAGAAGGCCUUCGGGUUGUAAAGCACUUUUGUCCGGAAAGAAAUGGCUCUGGUUAAUACCUGGGGUCUAUGACGGUACCGGAAGAAUAAGGACCGGCUAACUACGUGCCAGCAGCCGCGGUAAUACGUAGGGUCCAAGCGUUAAUCGGAAUUACUGGGCGUAAAGCGUGCGCAGGCGGUUGUGCAAGACCGAUGUGAAAUCCCCGAGCUUAACUUGGGAAUUGCAUUGGUGACUGCACGGCUAGAGUGUGUCAGAGGGGGGUAGAAUUCCACGUGUAGCAGUGAAAUGCGUAGAGAUGUGGAGGAAUACCGAUGGCGAAGGCAGCCCCCUGGGAUAACACUGACGCUCAUGCACGAAAGCGUGGGGAGCAAACAGG